UAUGACUUCACUGCUUUGAGAAGUGAGACAUCAUCUCUCUUAGCUUCGAUGAGGAAGAGACAUUCAAGGAGGAUCCCAUCUUUAUCCCCUUCUCUCAAGUUUGCAUGGCUCAGGAUAUGAGAACAGAACGGCACAGAAGGGAUAUCUUUGGCAACUCAUCUGGAUGCACCUGAAUCCACUUGGGACAUCUCAGUCCAGACCAAAGAAACUUGGCAGCAUCUGAAGAGUCUCAGAGGUCUUAAAAGCUCCUGAAAUGGUACCAGGCCUCAGAAUCUCUCUCCAGUUUCUUCCUCUGUAUGAAGUGGAUGUGGCACAUAACAGCAUGAAAGAUACAGAACAGAUAGCCAGAAGGUGGUAGGCAUGUCCUGAAUGCACUUCUUAGCACACCUACAACAAUGGGUGCUCACCACAUGGUUAACUUCUAUACACUUAGAUGACUGUCUUCAUCCAGUACGUGGCUGUUGCUGGUUGGGUUCUUUGGGAAGCAGACUCUGACAUGGAGUUUGGUCUGUAGGAUAGUUAUUAGGGAGUGUUGUUGGCAUCAACCAACACCCAUAGAAGGGAGACCAGGAAGCAGGAGUGGGUGGAGGAAGAAGUUAGCUCUGUGGCUGAUUCCAUACCAGCCUCAGCUAACUCCAUGGGUGCUCUGGAGCAAUAUGGCUCAUCAGAAUUGUCCUGCAUCUCCAUCAAUCGCUGAAGUGGGCUGCCCCAGAAAAGGCAUGACCUUGGGUGAGGUGCACCCCUCCACCUCUAACUUGUAUAGAAAGUUUGAUUCAACGUGCAAUAUUUUCCAGCAAAAAGGCAACGUACAGGAAGGGGUGCUGUACACAACUGCUACAGAAACAAACACGAUGCUGGAAAAGAAAGAAAAAAAGGUGGGAUUUAUUGGUGCUAUUUUCCUGCACUCAAAACUAGACGGGCAGUUGCCAUUAGCUCCAAAGUAGAAGAAAACAAAGCUGACACUGAAAUAACAACAUACAGGCUAAUGUCAAUAUCAGUGAAAUUUACUCACUGACUCACCCAACAGAAGGUCACUGCCAACAAGUGUUACUCUACACAUCCAUUAGUUAAAUAUACAAUUUCAUUUUUUCCA